rnacentral:rRNA from 1 species
UGAGUAACAUGUAUCCAACCUGCCGUCUACUCUUGGACAGCCUUCUGAAAGGAAGAUUAAUACAAGAUGGCAUCAUGAGUCCGCAUGUUCACAUGAUUAAAGGUAUUCCGGUAGACGAUGGGGAUGCGUUCCAUUAGAUAGUAGGCGGGGUAACGGCCCACCUAGUCUUCGAUGGAUAGGGGUUCUGAGAGGAAGGUCCCCACAUUGGAACUGAGACACGGUCCAA